rnacentral:rRNA from 1 species
UAUGUGAUCGUCUCUCGCAUAUCAAUAAGCGGAGGAAAAGAAACUAACAAGGAUUCCCCUAGUAACGGCGAGUGAAGCGGGAAGAGCUCAAAUUUGAAAUCUUAAAGGGUUUCCCUUUACGAAUUGUAGUUUAAAGAAGUGUUUUCUGUUGAGGUUUUGGUAAAAGUCUUUGGAAUAGGACAUCAUAGAGGGUGAGAAUCCCGUAUUUGACCUUUACUUUCAACUUUGUGAUACACUUUCAAAGAGUCGGAUUGUUUGGGAAUGCAGUCCAAAAUGGGUGGUAAAUUUCAUCUAAAGCUAAAUAUUGGCGAGAGACCGAUAGCGAACAAGUACCGUGAGGGAAAGAUGAAAAGAACUUUGAAAAGGAGAGUUAAACAGUACGUGAAAUUGUCAAAAGGGAAGCGUUUGACACCAGUGUUGUUUUUCUGAAAAUCAAUUAAAGAACUGUUUAUGCUAAGCUGUUUAGACUUUAUCAGCUAUCUGUUUAGUUUUGAGCUUUUCUUUAAUGCACUUUUCAGUUAACAAGUCAACAUCAAUUUCUUUUGCUGUAAAAAAGCUUGAGGAAGGUGGCUUGAGAUUCGUCUUAAGUGUUUAUAGCCUCUUGCCUAUGCAGUCGGAGAGAUUGAGGUCUGCAGCGUAGAUCCUUCGGGGCUAAAUGCAUUUGUGCUAAGUUAUAGCAUUUUAUAGACAACUUGUUGACUAUGAUUUGUCUUGUAGCUUACUCGCUUAUGUUAUUUUACCUACGCUUAGGAUGUUGAUCUACAGAGCGAGAGU